rnacentral:rRNA from 1 species
GACGAACGCUGGCGGCGUGCUUAACACAUGCAAGUCGAACGGAAAGGCCCUGCUUUUGUGGGGUGCUCGAGUGGCGAACGGGUGAGUAACACGUGAGUAACCUGCCCUUGACUGUGGGAUAACUUCAGGAAACUGGGGCUAAUACCGGAUAGGAGCUCCUGCUGCAUGGUGGGGGUUGGAAAGUUUCGGCGGUUGGGGAUGGACUCGCGGCUUAUCAGCUUGUUGGUGGGGUAGUGGCUUACCAAGGCUUUGACGGGUAGCCGGCCUGAGAGGGUGACCGGCGACAUUGGGACUGAGAUACGGCCCAGACUCCUACGGGAGGCAGCAGUGGGGAAUAUUGCACAAUGGGCGGAAGCCUGAUGCGGCAACGCCGCGUGCGGGAUGACGUCCUUCGGGUUGUAAACCGAUUUCGCCUGUGACGAAGCGUGAGUGACGGUAAUGGGUAAAGAAGCACCGGCUAACUACGUG